CUUUCUUCCUCUUGUCUUUUUUCUUAAAAGAGCUUGGUCCUUCUGUCAGGACAGUAUAUUCUUUCUACGUACCAUUUUUUAUGGGUCCAGAAGAAACUACUAAUGGGAGCAGGCUGGAUAACAAAAUCUACAUUGGAGCAGAAUUGGGGCAGCGUUGGAAGAAGAGAGUACUAUUUUUUUGAAAAUAUUUCUUUUAGCUGAAGCCAUGCUCCACCAAGGCUGUGGCUGUCACCUGUCCUGGAAGACAUCUCCUGGAGCAAGAGCUAGGCACAGCUGGAUCUGGCAGCUCUGGCAACAGGUUGGCAUGCUCCAAAGGCAGUUGCUUGAUGUGAACAGACUUACUCUGCAGUCUGUACUUGGAAUUGUUCCUGGCUGUGCUCAAUGCUUCUGGUUUCCAGGAUGAUCCUCACCACCCAGCCUAGGCACAGCAUUGGAAGAAAAACAUGGCUCUUCACAAUUCAACUCUGCAGCAAAUACAAUCCGUAUCAGUCUGCCACAGCGUGAAACGUUCCUCGGAGAAAAGAAAUGAGAGGAGUCACUGCAGGUAGAUGCAGGGCUGGAGGUGCAAGAACAUGCAUUUGUCUCUGCUGCGCAGCCUGCUGUAUUUGUCUUCAUUGCAGCCACUCCAUGUAUACUUGCAUUGAAGUCGUUUUCUGCAUCUCUUCCAGUCUGAGUUCGUCAGCAGUGGACUUGAGUGACCAGAGCUGCAUUCAGUAUGCAGGAAGACCUCCUAACAGUGCCUGCUACAGAAACUGUUAUUACUCAUUUGUAACUAAUGACCUACCAAUUUAGAGUAAAAAUU
rnacentral:lncRNA from 1 species